rnacentral:lncRNA from 1 species
GUUGGUUUAUUGUAUAUAAAAAUUUGUAAGGGUUCUGCGGAACCAAGUGUCUGGCCUACUUUAAGAAUCUAAUAAUUGUUUUAAAAGUUUAUUUAUCAGUAAAAUACAGAAUAACAGGAAAUAAAUUUUACAAAACUAAUACUUCUGGAUAUGUCUCGCUUUUGAAACAAGUCACAGGCUCGACAAAAAUGGAUCAGAUUAAAAUAUUUGUUUUAAAAAAGAUGAUACUACAUGAUGGGGAUGAAGAAUAUCUUUAUUAUAAGAUGAAAAAUAGAUAACAUAAAGCUUACUGUAAAAUGAUUAAGUUCCAAAGACAAAGCCUAGAAAAAGUGAGAAAAAAAUCCUUUCACAAAUCAUUUAAACAUGAGCACACCUUCACCAUAUGUGCAAUGUUGCUGUGAAGUUUAUGUAAUCUGCGUUGAAGACUGAAGGAGAUGUUUACAUAAAACAUUUAACCAUAAAAACGAAUAAACUCAAACCUGAUUUCUAAAGACAAUAUUUUUCAGCUUGUGAUAAAAAAAAAUGAUGUAAAGAUUUGGCACAACACCCUCAACACACAUAGUGUUAGGUCUUUACAUAAAAUACAGUCCAGUGUUGCUUAUCACUGCAUGUGUAACACACUUCACAUGUAUACAAAAGUACUGCACAUCACAAUAUCACACAAUAAUACACAAUAAUACACAAUAAUACACAAUAUCACACAAUAAUAGUUAUAUACUGUAAUUACAGAAAUUAUUCAAUAUUGCAAAUCUUUUAUUAUUAUGAAUAGUUCAACUGUCAACGUAUAUUUGUUCCACCUAACAGAAGUUCCGCUAGAAACUUUGUUAUAAACAAUGUCAUAAUACCUUUUCCAGUUGGAACAAAUAUUCUAUACCAUUUAUUCCGUUAGGAACAUAUACUGUAAUAUUUAUUCCUGUGGAAAUAAUAUUCCAGAAUAUUUCUUCCUUUUGGAACUUAUAUUAUGAAGGAAUUUCUAUUCUGUGACACCACUCUGUGAGUAC